rnacentral:rRNA from 1 species
GAUGAACGCUGGCGGCGUGCCUAAUACAUGCAAGUCGAACGCAUAGCGAAAGGUGCUUGCACCUUUCAAGUGAGUGGCGAACGGGUGAGUAACACGUGGACAACCUGCCUCAAGGCUGGGGAUAACAUUUGGAACCAGAUGCUAAUACCGAAUAAAACUUAGUGUCGCAUGACACAAAGUUAAAAGGCGCUUCGGCGUCACCUAGAGAUGGAUCCGCGGUGCAUUAGUUAGUUGGUGGGGUAAAGGCCUACCAAGACAAUGAUGCAUAGCCGAGUUGAGAGACUGAUCGGCCACAUUGGGACUGAGACACGGCCCAAACUCCUACGGGAGGCUGCAGUAGGGAAUCUUCCACAAUGGGCGAAAGCCUGAUGGAGCAACGCCGCGUGUGUGAUGAAGGCUUUCGGGUCGUAAAGCACUGUUGUAUGGGAAGAACAGCUAGAAUAGGAAAUGAUUUUAGUUUGACGGUACCAUACCAGAAAGGGACGGCUAAAUACGUG